GUUAUGGCUUGAUUUCAGAAAGACACGACUGACUCUACAAGGGCAGUGCGUUUCCGCCUCCGCAUAAAGCAGGACUCUGACCACUCAGCUCUGCCUGGAACUAGAGGUGGAAUCUCAGAAUGCCCAAAAAGGGUCUGGAAAGCUAUCCCUCCCCCUUUAGAGGUGGAUCUAAAAGGAGUCUUAGAGCUCGGUUCACAGAGCUUUCCCUGACACCACUCUUGGGGACCCCACUGCAGGCACCUGUGAAGGAGACGAAUGUCUUUCCCUGGCGGUCCCUGCCUUCUACCCACGCGCUGCCGAGCCCAGCAGCUGAAUUCCCCAGUGUCCGCCCCCGUGGAGUUCACUACCAGCAGCUGACUGUGCUGGCUGAAGUGCUUGAUGCUGAAAGACAGAGGCGACAGGCGGCAAGAGAUGGAGACGACCCAAAACACCCACCACAGAGCCCACCACCCAACUUCCGCCCCAGUCUUCCCGACUUGCUCCAAUGGCGGUUGGGAUUUGCGUUGACCCCGCCCACCGCCUCUGAUUGGUUCACCUAACCCCGCUGACUUCAGGCACAACUUCUAAUUGGGCCGUUCUGCUUCUUAUUGGCCUCGUCGCAGACGCCUAGCAGUCACCCACAGGCCUUUGCGGCCUUGGCACCUUCCUGGCGUCCCCUUGUUCAGACCUGCGAAUUCCCUCUCACCCUCUUCAUCCGCUGAAGGAGGCAGAAUCCCGGGAGCGCUCAUUUUAAGAGGCUGAAGCGAGAGAAGGUCCCUCCCACAACAGCCACAGCCAAGGGUCUCCGGAUGUCCCAAGAUGGAGGGAGACGUCCAUACCUGAAAUGACGCAGAUGAGCAGGAAACAGGCCGGGCAGCGGAUGGCCCUGGAGUCCAUGGUGCUGAAGCCUGGAGCGGAGAUGCAGGUGAAUGGAGCUAUUCAGAACCCUGCUUAGGAAACAACAGUCCUGCAGCCAGAAAAGGAGGGUCCCUAAGGACAGAGCAGCAGUGCUUGGAGGGAGCUGGAGCGGCCCCUGGGGGUCACAGGAGAGUCGUGGGGGCCUGAGGACAGAGCAGUUGAGCGUGGCUGGGUGAGAGAUGCGCUGGUACUGGCCUUACAGCUGGGCAAGCUGCCGCUCUUGGGCCAAAUCUGGCUGGCAGGCUGCUUUGGCAUGGUUUAUAAACUAAGAAUGAUUUAAAUCUCAGUAUCCACAAAUAAAGUGUUAUUGGAACAUAGCCACAUAUUUUUCCCCCAUACUGGGGAUUGAAUCCAGAGCUCUUAUGCUGAGCUACAUCCCCAGGCCUCUUUAUUUUCUAUUUUGAAACAGGGUCUUGCCUGGCCAUUAAAUUGCCCAGGUUGGGCUUCACCCUUCUGAUUUGCCUGCCUCAGGCUCCUAGAGUGCAGGAUGACAGGCCUGCACCACCAUACCCAGAUCACACCCAUUCUUUGGAUUGUCCACAGCUGCUUUCACUAUAGCAGCAGAGUGCAAUAGUCGUGACAGAGAUGGUGUGGCCCACCAGACCUAAAAUAUUUACUGUCCAGCUCCUCACAGAAAGUUUAUCGACCUGACCUUUACUCUGAAAGGUGGUAUUUCUAAAAAGCAGUUUCACUUAAACAAAUAAUAUACCAAUAAAAUGUAUUGCCCCAGAAAAGAAGGCUUAAAUUCCAUUUGACCAACACAUCCCCCUCCCAUUUCCUCAGAGGUUAUAGCCUUCGUGUGUCUUUCAGACCAUUUCCUGAGUCUGUAUAUGCACCCGUGUAUCUGUAGAAAGAGGCAGUAUUGGGGCUGCAGCUGUGGCUCAGUGGCAGAGAGCUUGCUUAGGCAUGCACGAAACCCUGG
ensembl:lncRNA